rnacentral:rRNA from 1 species
UACGUAGGCAGCAAGCGUUGUUCGGAAUUACUGGGCGUAAAGAGUGUGUAGGCGGUGCUCUAAGUUCGGUGUGAAAUCUCCCGGCUCAACUGGGAGGGUGCGCCGGAAACUGGAGUGCUGGAGCGCGGGAGAGGAGAGCGGAAUUCCUGGUGUAGCGGUGAAAUGCGUAGAUAUCAGGAGGAACACCGGCGGUGUAGACGGCUUUCUGGACCGUAGCUGACGCUGAGACACGAAAGCGUGGGUAGCAAACAGG